UACGAAGGGGGCUAGCGUUGCUCGGAAUCACUGGGCGUAAAGCGCACGUAGGCGGACUCUUAAGUCGGUGGUGAAAUCCUGGAGCUCAACUCCAGAACUGCCUUCGAUACUGGGAGUCUCGAGUUCGGGAGAGGUGAGUGGAACUGCGAGUGUAGAGGUGAAAUUCGUAGAUAUUCGCAAGAACACCAGUGGCGAAGGCGGCCGACUGGGCCGACCCUGACGCUGAGGCGCGAAGGCGUGGGGAGCGAACGGG
rnacentral:rRNA from 1 species